rnacentral:lncRNA from 1 species
GAAAGGGAGAAGUGCACGGUGUGAUAGGGCAGGAAGAGAAGAAAAUGGAGGAGAGGAGGGGACUUUCCCAUAAGCAGGCAGAAGAAAAGGCAGCUGUGGUGUGUGAUGGACAUGGAUGCAGUGGUGUCCAAUGUGGGGUCAGCCCACUUAGUGAGCAUUGUGUCCGCUCAGGGGCCUCUGUGGGCAUCCGUCUCCUCUGCAGCAUCUUUCCUCCCCACUGCUGGGUCUGCACAUGACCCCCUCCUUGGGUUAGGCCUCUGAUCAGUGAUGACCUUGGUAUGGU